rnacentral:rRNA from 1 species
AGAGUUUGAUCCUGGCUCAGAUUGAACGCUGGCGGAAUGCUUUACACAUGCAAGUCGAACGGCAGCACGGACUUCGGUCUGGUGGCGAGUGGCGAACGGGUGAGUAAUACAUCGGAACGUGCCCAGUCGUGGGGGAUAACGUAGCGAAAGCUACGCUAAUACCGCAUACGAUCUACGGAUGAAAGCGGGGGAUCGCAAGACCUCGCGCGAUUGGAGCGGCCGAUGGCAGAUUAGGUAGUUGGUGGGGUAAAGGCUCACCAAGCCGACGAUCUGUAGCUGGUCUGAGAGGACGACCAGCCACACUGGGACUGAGACACGGCCCAGACUCCUACGGGAGGCAGCAGUGGGGAAUUUUGGACAAUGGGCGCAAGCCUGAUCCAGCCAUUCCGCGUGCAGGAUGAAGGCCCUCGGGUUGUAAACUGCUUUUGUACGGAACGAAAAGGCUCUGGUUAAUACCCGGGGCUCAUGACGGUACCGUAAGAAUAAGCACCGGCUAACUACGUGCCAGCAGCCGCGGUAAUACGUAGGGUGCAAGCGUUAAUCGGAAUUACUGGGCGUAAAGCGUGCGCAGGCGGUGAUGUAAGACAGAGGUGAAAUCCCCGGGCUCAACCUGGGAACUGCCUUUGUGACUGCAUCGCUGGAGUACGGCAGAGGGGGAUGGAAUUCCGCGUGUAGCAGUGAAAUGCGUAGAUAUGCGGAGGAACACCGAUGGCGAAGGCAAUCCCCUGGGCCUGUACUGACGCUCAUGCACGAAAGCGUGGGGAGC